GGGUUGUGAGGUUAAGCGACUAAGCGUACACGGUGGAUGCCCUGGCAGUCAGAGGCGAUGAAGGGCGUACUAAUCUGCGAUAAGCGCCGGUAAGGUGAUAUGAACCGUUAUAACCGGCGAUACCCGAAUGGGGAAACCCAGUGUGAUUCGUCACACUAUCAUUAACUGAAUCCAUAGGUUAAUGAGGCGAACCGGGGGAACUGAAACAUCUAAGUACCCCGAGGAAAAGAAAUCAACCGAGAUUCCCCCAGUAGCGGCGAGCGAACGGGGAGGAGCCCAGAGCCUGAAUCAGCAUGUGUGUUAGUGGAAGCGUCUGGAAAGGCGCGCGAUACAGGGUGACAGCCCCGUACACAAAAGCGCAUGUGCUGUGAGCUCGAUGAGUAGGGCGGGACACGUGGUAUCCUGUCUGAAUAUGGGGGGACCAUCCUCCAAGGCUAAAUACUCCUGACUGACCGAUAGUGAACCAGUACCGUGAGGGAAAGGCGAAAAGAACCCCGGCGAGGGGAGUGAAAAAGAACCUGAAACCGUGUACGUACAAGCAGUGGGAGCACCCUUUGGGUGUGACUGCGUACCUUUUGUAUAAUGGGUCAGCGACUUAUAUUCUGUAGCAAGGUUAACCGAAUAGGGGAGCCGGAGGGAAACCGAGUCUUAACCGGGCGUUAAGUUGCAGGGUAUAGACCCGAAACCCGGUGAUCUAGCCAUGGGCAGGUUGAAGGUUGGGUAACACUAACUGGAGGACCGAACCGACUAAUGUUGAAAAAUUAGCGGAUGACCUGUGGCUGGGGGUGAAAGGCCAAUCAAACCGGGAGAUAGCUGGUUCUCCCCGAAAGCUAUUUAGGUAGCGCCUCGUGAAUUCAUCUCCGGGGGUAGAGCACUGUUUCGGCUAGGGGGCCAUCCCGGCUUACCAACCCGAUGCAAACUGCGAAUACCGGAGAAUGUUAUCACGGGAGACACACGGCGGGUGCUAACGUCCGUCGUGAAGAGGGAAACAACCCAGACCGCCAGCUAAGGUCCCAAAGUCAUGGUUAAGUGGGAAACGAUGUGGGAAGGCCCAGACAGCCAGGAUGUUGGCUUAGAAGCAGCCAUCAUUUAAAGAAAGCGUAAUAGCUCACUGGUCGAGUCGGCCUGCGCGGAAGAUGUAACGGGGCUAAACCAUGCACCGAAGCUGCGGCAGCGACACUGUGUGUUGUUGGGUAGGGGAGCGUUCUGUAAGCCUGUGAAGGUGUGUCGUGAGGCAUGCUGGAGGUAUCAGAAGUGCGAAUGCUGACAUAAGUAACGAUAAAGCGGGUGAAAAGCCCGCUCGCCGGAAGACCAAGGGUUCCUGUCCAACGUUAAUCGGGGCAGGGUGAGUCGACCCCUAAGGCGAGGCCGAAAGGCGUAGUCGAUGGGAAACGGGUUAAUAUUCCCGUACUUGGUGUUACUGCGAAGGGGGGACGGAGAAGGCUAUGUUGGCCGGG
rnacentral:rRNA from 3 species